rnacentral:rRNA from 1 species
UACGUAGGGCGCAAGCGUUGUCCGGAAUUAUUGGGCGUAAAGGGCGCGUAGGCGGCUUUGCAAGUGGCGGGUGAAAUCCCUCGGCUUAACCGAGGAACUGCCUGUCAAACUGCAUGGCUUGAGACCAGGAGAGGUGAGUGGAAUUCCCAGUGUAGCGGUGAAAUGCGUAGAUAUUGGGAGGAACACCAGUGGCGAAGGCGGCUCACUGGACUGGUACUGACGCUGAUGCGCGAAAGCGUGGGGAGCAAACAGG